rnacentral:sRNA from 1 species
CAUUUUCAGUAAAGAAGUCCUGAGUAAACACGUUGUCGUUGAAUACCGCUUCUCUGCCGAACCUUAUAUUAGUGCCUCAAGCAGUAAUGUCUCAGUUUUAUCUAUGUUAGGCCUGCGGGCUAAGAAAACACUCUAAGGAAUUUUGCAAAUGGCAAAGAUUAAAGGUCAAGUUAAGUGGUUCAACGAGUCUAAAGGUUUUGGCUUUAUUACUCCGGCUGAUGGCAGCAAAGAUGUGUUCGUACACUUCUCCGCUAUCCAGGGUAAUGGCUUCAAAACUCUGGCUGAAGGCCAGAACGUUGAGUUCGAAAUUCAGGACGGCCAGAAAGGUCCGGCUGCUGUUAACGUAACAGCUAU